rnacentral:tRNA from 1 species
AAAGGUAUAGUUGAAAAACAACAUUAAAUUGCAGAUUUAAAAGUAUUCUAAUAAUUACCUUUU